rnacentral:rRNA from 1 species
CGUUAGCGGCGGACGGGUGAGUAACACAUGGGUAACCUACCUAUAAGACUGGGAUAACUUCGGGAAACCGGAGCUAAUACCGGAUAAUAUUUCGAACCGCAUGGUUCGAUAGUGAAAGAUGGUUUUGCUAUCACUUAUAGAUGGACCCGCGCCGUAUUAGCUAGUUGGUAAGGUAACGGCUUACCAAGGCGACGAUACGUAGCCGACCUGAGAGGGUGAUCGGCCACACUGGAACUGAGACACGGUCCAGACUCCUACGGGAGGCAGCAGCG